AACGCUGGCGGCGUGGCUAAGACAUGCAAGUCGAACGGGGCCCGCAAGGGUCCAGUGGCGGACGGGUGAGUAAUGUAUCGCUAACGUGCCCCGGAGCCUGGGAUAGCCUUCCGAAAGGGAGGGUAAUACCAGAUGACAUGACCUGGUUGCAUGACCGGGUCCUCAAAGCAGCAAUGCACUCUGGGAGCGGGCGAUAUCGUAUCAGCUAGUUGGCGGGGUAACGGCCCACCAAGGCGACGACGCGUAGCCGGACUGAGAGGUUGGCCGGCCACAUUGGGACUGAGACACUGCCCAGACUCCUACGGGGGGCUGCAGUAACGAAUCUUCCGCAAUGCACGCAAGUGUGACGGAGCGACGCCGCGUGUGGGACGAAGCCCUUCGGGGUGUAAACCACUGUCAGGGGCAGCCAAGUUCUGAGGCGCCCCAGAGGAAGGCACGGCUAACUCUGUGCCAGCAGCCGCGGUAAGACAGAGGUGCCGAGCGUUAGGCGGAAUCACUGGGCUUAAAGCGUGUGUAGGCGGGUCGUUAAGUGCCUUGUGAAAUCCCACGGCUCAACCGUGGAACUGCUGGGCAUACUGGCGAUCUUGGGCCAACCAGGGGUCAUCGGAACAAACGGUGGAGCGGUGAAAUGCGUAGAUAUCGUUUGGAACGCCGACGGCGAAAGCAGAUGACUGGGGUUGCGCCGACGCUGAGACACGAAAGCCAGGGGAGCGAACGGGAUUAGAUACCCCGGUAGUCCUGGCCGUAAACGAUGUCGACUGGGUCGUGGGGACCUCUGACGGUUUCGCGGCCGAAGCAAAAGUGCUAAGUCGACCGCCUG
rnacentral:rRNA from 1 species